UACGUAGGGGGCAAGCGUUGUCCGGAAUCAUUGGGCGUAAAGCGCGUGUAGGCGGUCCGGUAAGUCGGCUGUGAAAGUCCAGGGCUCAACCCUGGGAUGCCGGUCGAUACUGCCGGACUAGAGUUCGGAAGAGGCGAGUGGAAUUCCCGGUGUAGCGGUGAAAUGCGCAGAUAUCGGGAGGAACACCAAUGGCGAAGGCAGCUCGCUGGGACGUUACGUGACGCUGAGACGCGAAAGCGUGGGGAGCAAACAGGG
rnacentral:rRNA from 1 species